rnacentral:rRNA from 1 species
GACGAACGCUGGCGGCGUGCCUAAUACACGCAAGUCGAGCGGACUUUCAAGAAGCUUGCUUUUUGAAAGUUAGCGGCGGGCGGGUGAGUAACACGUGGGCAACCUGCCUGUAAGACGGGGAUAACUCCGGGAACCGGGGCUAAUACCGGAUAAUAUCUUUCUUCGCAUGAAGGAAGGUUGAAAGGCGGCGCAAGCUGCCGCUUGCAGAUGGGCCCGCGGCGCAUUAGCUAGUUGGUGAGGUAACGGCUCACCAAGGCGACGAUGCGUAGCCGACCUGAGAGGGUGAGCGGCCACACUGGGACGGAGACACGGCCCAGACUCCUACGGGAGGCAGCAGUAGGGAAUCUUCCGCAAUGGACGAAAGUCUGACGGAGCAACGCCGCGUGAGCGAAGAAGGUCUUCGGAUCGUAAAGCUCUGUUGUCAGGGAAGAACAAGUACCGUUCGAAUAGGGCGGUACCUUGACGGUACCUGACCAGAAAGCCACGGCUAACUACGUGCCAGCAGCCGCCGUAA